rnacentral:rRNA from 1 species
UACGUAGGGUGCGAGCGUUGUCCGGAAUUAUUGGGCGUAAAGGGCUCGUAGGCGGUCUGUCACGUCGGGAGUGAAAACUCGGGGCUUAACUCCGAGCCUGCUUCUGAUACGGGCAGACUAGAGGUAUGCAGGGGAGAAUGGAAUUCCUGGUGUAGCGGUGAAAUGCGCAGAUAUCAGGAGGAACACCGGUGGCGAAGGCGGGUCUCUGGGCCGAUACUGACGCUGAGGAGCGAAAGCGUGGGGAGCGAACAGG